ensembl:lncRNA
GUAAAGAAUCAACAGGUAAGUUAUUGCUUAUAUGUUCCUUUAACACCUUUUGGUAUUAAUCAAUUCUCCCACAAAACACACUCUUAGAAUAAAAGGUAUGAAACUGUCACUGGGGCAUUCCCACUCUUGUAUCCUCAAGGGUACAUCUUAAUAACUUUAGUCAGGAAACAUAAUUGUGUCAUAAUCCAUUGAAAUUAUAGGAAAAAUCUAUUUAAGGCACACAAUUGGACCUUAAAACCACUGUUCUACCUUUGAGGGAACAUUAACAAUGUAUCUGCACAGAACCUUCAUUUCUAACAGUGUGGCGACCCUGCACCCACCAUUACACUUGUCAGUGUUAGUGAAAGUAACUCUGACCCUACUCUCCAUACCAUACCUUCUUUAUCAGUCCUGCAUUCUUCAUCUCUCCAAUCUCACACCUUCAGCCAAAAUCCCACCACAAUGAUAAAACUUUCUGUUAAAUUAUUCUGUGUAAAUUUAGCAACUGUAUAUUACCCAGGAAUCUGUCAUUCUAAUGUUGGCAUCUCAAAAUAUAGUCACAUCCAAAAUGUGUUUAUUGUAAUACUGUAUUUUCCAACAAGUAGAGCAUAAUUGUUUUGUAUUGGCAAAAUUGUUUUCAAAGAAAAAAUAAUGUAACUCUGCUUGUUUCUGUAAUCAUUAAUAAAAUUAUUGAAAACCUUAGAACAGAUCGUUUGUGUAGGACUUUUAGGAAUCUUUUUUAGGUUUGGACCUAUUGUAUAGUUUGUUCUCUUCAGCAAUUAGGGGACAUUAACUUCUGUCAUACCUGUUUGCCAUGUUAAAUGGAUAUGAUAUCUUUCACACAGGCCAAAACUCAACCACACCUCCCACGCAGCAAACCACCAUUGCAAAUUCCAGUAAAGACACAAACACCUCUGACUCCACAAGCACUGGGUCCAACAAUACAGCAGCCUCACCCUCAUCCAUUACACCUGACACAACAGAUACAAACACCUCUGACUCCACAAGCACUGGGUCCAACAAUACAGCAGCCUCACCCUCAUCCAUUACACCUGACACAACAGAUACAAACACCUCUGACUCCACAAGCACUGGGUCCAACAAUACAGCAGACUCACCCUCAUCCAUUACACCUGGCACAACAGACACAAACACCUCUGACUCCACAAGCACUGGGUCCAACAAUACAGCAGGCUCACCCUCAUCCAUUACACCUGACACAACAGGUAACAACACCAGCAAAUAUGACACAGAGCUCUUGUAAUAGAUUUUUGAUUUAUGGGGGCAAUCAGACCACAAACACCUUUUCCUUGGGAUGA